rnacentral:piRNA from 1 species
UGGUGUUCCUAUGACUGUUGCCCGGGC